rnacentral:lncRNA from 1 species
UUUCAGCACUGCAGAGCCAAGCUCUCAACACAAACUUGAACCUGCUAUUCCCUGUGCCCAAGGCUCUCCUUGCAACUUCUGCUUUAUGGUUCAAAUCUUUUAUCCUUUUGAUUCAGAGAUCCCCUCAAAUCCCAGGACCUCAGGCCCUUCACCUCGACGUGGAUCGGUCUGGAACUAUGGACUAAAGAUUCGGCUUAGGUUUUAACUUGCAUCUAGGCUCACUUGGGACAGCACUAUUGUCAGGUUCCUGCAGUGGGGUACGGGUGGGGUGUCCCAAGUCCUCUUAGUCCCAGUCCAGAAGGUAGAUGCCCGUCCGGAGCGCCCUCUGGGGGACCUCGGGGUACCGAUCUCCAGUGCAGACGCAAGGCGUCGGGAAGUGCGCACCCAAGUGCGGGGUCGGGCGUGAUCAAUGGGGAAAUGAUUCACGCUGGAGGAUCGGGACCCAGAGGCAGGGAGUCCUGGACUUCCUGGGGACUGAGUAAGGACCUGAAGGAUCCAGACUAAGGAUGCAUUUCAUCCCGCACCGUAGACUUAAGACUGGGACCUGUUCGCAGCCCCGCCACACUGUUAGUGACCCGGCUGCAGUCCCCGCCCGGUCUUUCCUGCUCCCCCGCGGUCUCGGUCUCUAGCCCCCGGGCUCCCCCGACUUCCCUGGCUCCAGUGAGCGUCCGCAUACCCAGGUUCCCAAACUGCCCCGUCCCUUCUCCCGCCCCGUCGGUGCGGUCUCACCACUGGCCCCAGGUGCUCAGCCGCCCUCGGGCGGUUAAGCGGAGCGGGGGUUGGGCUGUGGCCCGGGCGCUCACCUUGGAGGAGUCCGAGGCAGAGCCACAGGCGCAGGUUCAGCGCAGCGCCCGGCUGCAUCUCCGGCCCCUGGGCGCGGGUGGGACCUGCGCGGCCGCA